GUGGGUAUAGUUCAGUUGGUUAGAGCGCCAGAUUGUGGAUCUGGAAGUCGUCGGUUCAAGUCCGAUUACCCACC
rnacentral:tRNA from 1 species